rnacentral:rRNA from 1 species
AACGAACGCUGGCGGCAGGCCUAACACAUGCCAGUCGAGCGGACCUUUCGGGGUCAGCGGCGGACGGGUGAGUAACGCGUGGGAAUAUGCCCUUCUCUACGGAAUAGUCCUGGGAAACUGGGGGUAAUACCGUAUACGACCUUUGGGGGGAAGAUUUAUCGGGCAAGGAUUAGCCCGCGUUGGAUUAGGUAGUUGGUGGGGUAAUGGCCUACCAAGCCGACGAUCCAUAGCUGGGUUGAGAGGAUGAUCAGCCACACUGGGACUGAGACACGGCCCAGACUCCUACGGGAGGCAGCAGUGGGGAAUCUUAGACAAUGGGGGCAACCAUGAUCGAGCCAUGCCGCGUGAGUGAUGAAGGCCUUAGGGUUGUAAAGCUCUUUCAGCUGGGAAGAUAAUGACGGUACCAGCAGAAGAAGCCCCGGCUAACUCCGUG